rnacentral:rRNA from 1 species
GAGUUUGAUCCUGGCUCAGGACGAACGCUGGCGGCGUGCUUAACACAUGCAAGUCGAACGAUGAUGCUCCAGCUUGCUGGGGUGGAUUAGUGGCGAACGGGUGAGUAACACGUGAGUAACCUGCCCUUCACUCUGGGAUAAGCCUGGGAAACUGGGUCUAAUACUGGAUAUGACUGACCGUCGCAUGGUGGUUGGUGGAAAGAUUUUUUGGUGGAGGAUGGGCUCGCGGCCUAUCAGUUUGUUGGUGGGGUAGUGGCCUACCAAGGCUUUGACGGGUAGCCGGCCUGAGAGGGCGACCGGCCACACUGGGACUGAGACACGGCCCAGACUCCUACGGGAGGCAGCAGUGGGGAAUAUUGCACAAUGGGCGAAAGCCUGAUGCAGCGACGCCGCGUGCGGGAUGACGGCCUUCGGGUUGUAAACCGCUUUCGCCAGGGACGAAGCUUUUGUGACGGUACCUGGAGAAGAAGCACCGGCUAACUACGUGCCAGCAGCCGCGGUAAUACGUAGGGUGCGAGCGUUGUCCGGAAUUAUUGGGCGUAAAGAGCUUGUAGGCGGUUUGUCGCGUCUGCUGUGAAAGCCCGGGGCUUAACUCCNGGUCUGCA